AGCGAGGGCGCCGGCAUGACCCGCCACCACCGCAGCCGCUCCGUGCUGGCCGUGCUGGAAGACGCCGAUCUCCUCUGGGAGAUACUCCUCCGCCUCCCGCCGCAGCCGUCCUCCCUCCCGCGUGCCUCCGCAGUCUGCAAGCAGUGGCGGCGCCUCGCCACCGAUCCUAGGUUCCUCUGCCAGUUCUACAAGCAUCACCGGAAGCCCCCCCUCCUUGGCUAUUUCGAGUACCACGAAGACAUUGUGUUCACUCCAGUUCUGGACCCUCCCGACCGUGUCCCACCCAUUCGCUUUGACCUUGUACGAUUUGGCAGACGCCGCGAUGCAAACAAAGUGCUUGGGUGCCGCCACGGCCUUGUCCUUGUCGGCGACCAUUUGUGGAGAGAGGUCAUUGUGUGUGACCCCAUCACAGGCGAGCAGUGCCCCGUGACAGCCCCUUUGGAGUUCCAGAGGGGGUGGUUCAACGGGGCGGUGCUCUGCGCUGCCCGCGAUCAGGGCCACGUGCACGGCGCAUGCUAUUCAAGCCCCUUUAAGGUGGUCUUGGUGUCCAUAGAUGUUUAUGGAUUACCCAUCGCCCGUGUUUAUUCCUCAGAGACAGAGACAUGGAGCGGUCUCAUCUCUACAGAGGUUUCACGUAAUAAGUGUUCUUAUUUUGGUCCUAGCACCCUUGUUGGUAAUGUCCUUUACUGGCCUUCAUACAAUUGGGAAAACAACAUACUUGAGUUUGAUUUGGACACACAAAGCCUUACAGUGAUAAAGGGGCCUCCAGGUAUGAAUGAUUUCGACAACUUGCAGAUCAUCCAGGCAGAGGAUGGCGCCAUUGGUAUUGCCGUGUUGUCUUACCAUACCCUCCGACUAUGGCAAAGAAUGGUAAACUGCCGAGGCGUUGCCAUAUGGUUAUCGCGCAAGCUCGUUCCAUUGCGUAUCCUUCUGAACAUCCCUCCUCGAACUGAGAGGAAGAGGGAAUGUCCUCGAUUGGUGGGGUAUGAUGAGGGUACUGAUGUAAUCUUUUUAGGUAUCCACAACAGUGUCUAUAUGGUUCAACCCAAGUCAAUGCAAACCAGGAAACUAAAUGUGACCCGUUCUCCAACUUAUUGUUACCCACUCACAAGUUUCUUUCCACCAGGUUACUUGCAGAAGUGA
rnacentral:rRNA from 1 species